rnacentral:rRNA from 1 species
GACGAACGCUGGCGGCGUGCUUAACACAUGCAAGUCGAACGGAAAGGCCCUGCUUUUGUGGGGUUCUCGAGUGGCGAACGGGUGAGUAACACGUGAGUAACCUGCCCUUGACUUUGGGAUAACUUCAGGAAACGGGGGCUAAUACCGGAUAGGAGCUCCUGCUGCAUGGUGGGGGUUGGAAAGUUUCGGCGGUUGGGGAUGGACUCGCGGCUUAUCAGCUUGUUGGUGGGGUAGUGGCUUACCAAGGCUUUGACGGGUAGCCGGCAUGAGAGGGUGACCGGGCACAUUGGGACUGAGAUACGGACCAGACUCCUACGGGAGGCAGCAGUGGGGAAUAUUGCACAAUGGGCGGACGCCUGAUGCAGCAACGCCGCGUGCGGGAUGACGGCCUUCGGGUUGUAAACCGCUUUCGCCUGUGACGAAGCGUGAGUGACGGUAAUGGGUAAAGAAGCACCGGCUAACUACGUG